AUAUAUUUUUGGCAUUUGGAGAGUCAAUCAUGGAUGGCUAACUACUAUGAAGUCUUUGUUAUGAAGCUUCAAUCAUCUGGAUGGAAAACGGAACGCCUUAUGUUACCUGCAGUCGUUUGGAAGGCAAAUUGGUCAUCCAGAUCUUCAGACCAAAAGCUAGACUAGGGAAUUUCUGUGAACUGAAUUUGAGUGAGCUAUUAUUGAGUUAUCAUCAUCUCUCAGGACAAUUGGGUUGUUUUACACCAUUUUCCUUAUGAUUGGAAUGUAAGAUAUCUGGUGAAGUUGAAUUGAUUUGUAAUAAGGUUGAUUGUGCAAUUUACCUAGGAUUUGAGUUGAUUAUUAAUCCACCACCAGCCCAAUAAGAUGUCUGAAUAGAUGUCUUUAAUAAUUGGUUCUUAGGUUUUCAGAUGCCCCGAUUUCUUUCCAUUGCCAAAAGUAUAGAGAAUCUAGAAAUAGCAUACUACCACUAGACAUACAUAGCUAGUAAAAUCUACUUAAAAA